UUAGGAAUAUUCGGCAAUGGGGGAAACCCUGACCGAGCAAUGCCGCGUGUGAGAUGAAGGCCCUAUGGGUUGUAAAUCACUUUUAUUUGGGAAGAAUUAUAAGUAGAGGAAAUGAUGCUUAUUUGACGGUACCUUUUGAAUAAGCCCCGGCUAACUACGUGCCAGCAGCCGCGGUAAUACGUAGGGGGCGAGCGUUAUCCGGAUUUAUUGGGCGUAAAGCGUGCGUAGGCGGUUUAUUAAGUCUAGAAUAAAAGCCCGAGGCUUAACCUCGGUUCGUUCUAGAUACUGGUAGACUAGAGUAUGGUAGAGGCAAAUGGAAUUCCUAGUGUAGCGGUGAAAUGCGUAGAUAUUAGGAGGAACACCAGUGGCGAAGGCGAUUUGCUGGGCCAUCACUGACGCUGAGGUACGAAAGCGUGGGUAGCAAAUAGG
rnacentral:rRNA from 1 species